GGGCUGGCUUUAGCCCAGCCAUUCCUUCCUUCAAGGCUGGCUUCCCGACCGCCCGGCCGAUUGGUCCGAUUGGUCCGGUGGUUCCGGUGGUUCCUUGGUUCGGGACCCGCGGGCGCUCUCCGGUCCUUUA
rnacentral:vault_RNA from 1 species